rnacentral:misc_RNA from 1 species
GUGAUUCUGAACUCGUUCUGGCCGUUGAUACUGUUCAGCAAUGUUUCAACUCGAUGGAUAGAAAACUUCAAAGUUGCGAGCUUCAAAAUUGCUUGUUCUACGCUACGAAUGGAUAACCUCCGUGACAUUUUACGUGUGAGACGUACCGUUCCCUUCGGCUUCGUGCGAGCCCACACAAAAGUCACCCACGAAGUGGGGGCCUUGGGGGAAUUUUUUCUCCCCGUUUAUUUUUAUUCUAUUUCUUCGCUAUCCCACACCACGGUUGCACGGUGCGCCUCCGCAGUUUCCUCGAAACGAGGUGACGCUACGCCUGGAAAAUUAUGCAGACCACUUCACUGGAGAUUCGGGCCACGGGGAUAUUCCAAGAGACCUCGGACGUUCGAAAAUAUAGCGAGGAGAAAACGAGGCGACGAAUCGAAGCAUCGAUGUGACCUUGACUGGAGAGUUUACGUUCCAAAAGACGGGGGCUUCGCGCCCGCCGCGGUGGUGGAGCAAUGGGGAAAUGGAAAUCGCAAUCGCCACUGGGCCAGUCCGUUGCAACGAGCCCGAAAAACGUGUCGGCUUCAACCAGCUCUUCAGUCGAAUUCCAAGAGAUUUAGUUCAUUCGACUGAAAUCAUGAAAAUGUGGAAGAAGCGAACAAACCGGAAAGGCGAGAAACGAAAUUUGACAGGACCAUCGACGCUUCAUCCUGCCCCCGUCCACUCCGUAAAAUACUCAAUUUCCAACGAAUUUUCGUGAUAUUUCAGAAACCCUUUUCCUAUCAUCCAUUCGUGGUACGAAUGGUUCGCAGGUUCCGUCAAGCCCGUAAAAACAAAUGAAACACGUGCGAGCGAUGGAAUAUCGCGUUACGGAGCGAGCUGAACGUGAUUUACGCUCGUGUGUACACAAACUUGUAUUACUCGAAAGGUUGGAGCGACCUCUCGGCGUGGAAUCGAACAAAAUACCGUGAGUCACGCGCCGGAGAGUUCGCGUGGAAAGUGUGCCUCGUGCUCCAUAUUUACAUGGGCGAUACGAAAUACGAGAGCUGCGGGUUCUUCAGGCGGCGGCCAGGUACACACGAGGAGACGUAAGCGUGGAUGCAAGCACGCUUGAGGCCGUGAUAAAGGGUGUGGGAUGAGGAUGAGGAGGACGACGCGACGAGAGCAGUGCCUUUGAUUUGUCCCUUUGACCGAGCCGCGACCCGAACACGUGUCCUCCAACUCGGGCGAUAGCCUUAUCGGUGUUUAGUGCACUCACAUUGUUCGGAUGACGCUGAAGUUUCCAACGUUGGAGUUCAACGAAAUGAUAGAAAAAAACUCUCCAAUAAUUCCAGUAAUUCUCCUAUUUUGUUCCCUGCUA